rnacentral:tRNA from 1 species
GCCGCCCAUGUCGCGCGCCGUCCUGAGCUUGAUGAGCGCGGAAACCGGCGAGGUUCGAGACCUCGGGGUAGCC